rnacentral:rRNA from 1 species
AGAGUUUGAUUCUGGCUCAGAACGAACGCUGGCAGCGUGGAUUAGGCAUGCAAGUCGAACGGGAUCUGACUGUAUAGCAAUAUAUAGUUAGUGAUAGUGGCGAAAGGGCGCGUAGCGCGUGAGCAAUCUGCCUCUUGGAUGGGGAUAACUCCGGGAAACUGGGGCUAAUACCGAAUGUGGUCGUCCAUCGCAUGAUGGAAUGACGAAAGGCGGGGAUCCUUCGGGACCUGUCACCAGGAGAUGAGCUCGCGUACCAUCAGCUAGUUGGUGGGGUAAUGGCUCACCAAGGCUUACGGUUAGCUGGUCUGAGAGGAUGGUCAGCCGCACUGGGACUGAGACACUGCCCAGACUCCUAUGGGAGGCUGCAGUCGAGGAUCUUUUGCAAUGGGCGCAAGCCUGACAAAGCGACGCUGCGUGGAGGAUGACGGCCUUCGGGUUGUAAACUCCUGUCAUUCGGGAACAAUAAACCUGGUGAUAAUAAAAUCGGGGAUUGAUGGUACCGGAAGAGGAAGCCACGGCUAACUCUGUGCCAGCAGCCGCGGUAAUACAGAGGUGGCAAGCGUUGUUCGGAUUUACUGGGCGUAAAGGGUGCGUAGGUGGUUUCGUAUGUCGGAUGUGAAAUGCCAUGGCUCAACCAUGGAAUUGCAUUCGAAACUGCGAGGCUUGAGUGCAGGUGAGGAGAGCGGAAUUCUUGGUGUAGCGGUGAAAUGCGUUGAUAUCAAGAAGAACACCGGUUGCGAAGGCGGCUCUCUGGAAUGCAACUGACACUGAGGCACGAAAGCUGGGGGAGCAAACAGGAUUAGAUACCCUGGUAGUCCCAGCCCUAAACGGUGUACACUUGAUGUAGGAGGUAUUGACCCCUCCUGUGUCGGAGCUAACGCGUUAAGUGUACCGCCUGGGGAGUACGGCCGCAAGGCUAAAACUCAAAGAAAUUGACGGGGGCCCGCACAAGCGGAGGAGCAUGUGGCUUAAUUCGAUGCAACGCGAAGAACCUUACCAGGGCUUGACAUGUAACUGCAAGUCCCAUGAAAGUGGGAUGCCUUCGAGGGUGUUACACAGGUGCUGCAUGGCUGUCGUCAGUUCGUGCCGUGAGGUGUUUGGUUAAGUCCAGCAACGAACGCAACCCCUUUGUUUAGUUGCAACCAUCGGUGAUGAGCCGGUGGGCACUCUAGACAGACUGCCCGUACAAGCGGGAGGAAGGUGGGGAUGACGUCAAGUCAGUAUGGCCCUUACGUCCUGGGCUGCACACGUGCUACAAUGGCCGGUACAGAGGGAAGCAAUGCCGCAAGGUGGAGCAAAUCCUAAAAACCGGCCCCAGUUCAGAUUGAAGUCUGCAACUCGACUUCAUGAAGCCGGAUUCGCUAGUAACGGCGUAUCAGCUACGACGCCGUGAAUACGUUCCCGGGCCUUGUACACACCGCCCGUCACAUCAUGAAAGCCGUCUGCACCCGAAGUUAUCGAUCUAACCCGCAAGGGAAGUAGGUACCCAAGGUGUGGGUGGUGAUUGGGAUGAAGUCGUAACAAGGUA